UGGGGAAUAUUGGACAAUGGGGGCAACCCUGAUCCAGCCAUGCCGCGUGUGUGAAGAAGGCCUUUUGGUUGUAAAGCACUUUAAGCAGGGAGGAGAGGCUAAUGGUUAAUACCCAUUAGAUUAGACGUUACCUGCAGAAUAAGCACCGGCUAACUCUGUGCCAGCAGCCGCGGUAAUACAGAGGGUGCGAGCGUUAAUCGGAAUUACUGGGCGUAAAGCGAGUGUAGGUGGCUCAUUAAGUCACAUGUGAAAUCCCCGGGCUUAACCUGGGAACUGCAUGUGAUACUGGUGGUGCUAGAAUAUGUGAGAGGGAAGUAGAAUUCCCAGGUGUAGCGGUGAAAUGCGUAGAGAUCUGGAGGAAUACCGAUGGCGAAGGCAGCUUCCUGGCAUAAUAUUGACACUGAGAUUCGAAAGCGUGGGUAGCAAAACAGGAUUAGAUACCCUGGUAGUCCACGCCGUAAACGAUGUCUACUAGCCGUUGGGGUCCUUGAGACUUUAGUGGCGCAGUUAACGCGAUAAGUAGACCGCCUGGGGAGUACGGCCGCAAGGUUAAAAACUUAAAGGAAUUGACGGGGUCUAGCUG
rnacentral:rRNA from 1 species